rnacentral:rRNA from 1 species
AGCGAACGCUGGCGGCAGGCUUAACACAUGCAAGUCGAGCGGGCGUAGCAAUACGUCAGCGGCAGACGGGUGAGUAACGCGUGGGAACAUACCUCUUGGUUCGGAACAACACAGGGAAACUUGUGCUAAUACCGGAUAAGCCCUUACGGGGAAAGAUUUAUCGCCGAGAGAUUGGCCCGCGUCUGAUUAGCUAGUUGGUAGGGUAAUGGCCUACCAAGGCGACGAUCAGUAGCUGGUCUGAGAGGAUGAUCAGCCACAUUGGGACUGAGACACGGCCCAAACUCCUACGGGAGGCAGCAGUGGGGAAUAUUGGACAAUGGGGGCAACCCUGAUCCAGCCAUGCCGCGUGAGUGAUGAAGGCCCUAGGGUUGUAAAGCUCUUUUGUGCGGGAAGAUAAUGCGGU